AGCCCUCUGCUUUUCAGAAAAAGCCCGUAGGUGCAAAGCCAAGCUUCUAGCACAGCUGCACCUGGAAACACAGCACAGCUGACAGCUGGGGAAGAAUGGAGACUUUCAGUUUGCAAAGGGUGAAGUCUGUAUGCCUCUUGUGAUCAGCAGUGUGCUCAUUCUACCUGACAGCAGACCUGAGAUGUGAUUGCCUUGUGAAAGACCUAAUUGAGAGCAAUCUGGAAAGAACAAAUACAGCAAGAGUUGCUUACAGGACCCCAAAGUUAUGUGAUCAGCUAAAGAAGCAGAGAUGUUUGCUUAGUCACUAACAACUGAGUGAAAUGCAAGCAGGUAAUGUCAUUUAUUUAGAUAAGGUGCUGGGGAUCAAAAGAAUUUGGACUUGUUUCCAUUGAGCACACGGCAGUAAAUGUGGCAACUUGUGAAAAGUGUUUGAGAAGGCAGAAUUUUGAGAAGGCAAUAUUUGUGGUAUCUUGCAGGUGAGGGUUAAUGGGUCAGUUUUCUUUAGCUGGUUUAAAUUAUUCAGCAGGAUGAAUAAUUCUGUCUUGAUUUGAAAGGCGAGUCUUAAAUAUUCACAUCCCCAAAAAUGGAGAAUACUCAGUCAAAGAGCUAAACUCCACAUCUUGUCUCUAAUGAACCAAAAUUCAGAGUAACUGCACAUCUAUUUACUAGAAAUUUGGUAUCUCUUUCUUCCACCUGUGGGCUGUGGUCCUCUCAAACAUAAAUAGUUACUCUAACCAUUUAGUUAUAAAUUGACUUGCUUUGCAGUUAUAGAAUAUCCUGAUUUAAGAGUAGGGCAAGAGUUCUUUUUCUUCUUUACUACUGAAAUUUUAUUUUCAUUCUCUUUUUUUAAUGGGCAAGUCAGAAAAAAAAGCAGUGAUGACAACUGUUGAGGGACUUGAGUAAGGAAAAUCUGAAGCAGCAGUAGAGGCAUUUUAAUAAUUAUCUGUAUCAUCUGUAAACUUGGAAUCUCUUCUUAGAGUAAUAAAUUUUUACUGUGUGAAAACA